UCCAAUGUGGUGUAGUGGUUAACAUUGCUGUCUUUCAUUCUCGAUCAAUACACCAUUUCCCACAGCAGCCCGGGGUUCGAUUCCCCGCAUUGGAA